UCCCUGGUGACUCAGCUGGUAAAGAAUCCACCUGCAAUGUGGGAGACCUGGGUUUGAUCCCCAGGUUGGGAA
rnacentral:tRNA from 1 species